ACUUUACUCUCCCCAAAUUAACCUUCAACCAAAAUAAAUAUACCCAAUUUCUCCCAGCGAUACAGAAAAUUCGACAUUAACUUCGGAAAUUUCUCACGUCGAUUACUCCUUCCUCUCCGCCGAAGCCGAAGUGUUGAUCAUUUUACAUUCUCCGACGAAGCCGAAGCGUUUCCAAAGAUGAUUAUUAAUCAUCGUUUACCCUUCUCCGUCGAAGCCGAAUCGUUACAGAGAUUUGCAAAGCUCAGUAUUUCUUCAGAAUUUCCGCUUUCAUCUCCACAAUUUUCAGAAUUUGGUUAUUCACAAAGUUUCAAGCUACAAGAGUUUAAAUAUUCCAACAGCAGCUGUAUCGGUUAUGAUUUUUUUCUUAAUUUAGAGUACACAAGUCUCUGGCGGAGCAAAAGAUCACGAACUUCAGAUUAUCGGAUCUUAAAUAUGCCAACCUGGCUUUGAUCAACUCUGCAGAGAGGAGAAGUCUCAAAUUCCUCAAAAAACAUAUGUUCACGGAGCGCAAAUAUGGAGAGUUAAUUGCAAAAGUACCUCUUGUAGUUUCACCUAAUUGCAAAGAGACCCCCGUAGUUCUAUUUGUUACAAACAGAACCACUAUAGUUCUACUUGAUGCAAAUAGACCUCUAAGUGAAAUUCUUUCUACUCUUAAAAUCGUUAAGAAUGUUUGAGGAAGUCUACAGUUUAUUGGUGAGAAUCGCACUUGCAUUUUUUCACUUUUGAAAGAAUAAAAAAUGUUCACUUAUGCGGUGUAUCCACACUUCGGCCAAUACUUCAAGGGUCUAUUCACAACAUAUUUUCUAUAAUUGUACAUGAAAUGGACAAUACCAAUUUUUGGUGCAAUGGUUUGGUUAUCUCGCCAUAUUUUCAUUAUGUUGAAACUCCCAGGAAGAUAUGCAUCUAUUGAAAUUGCAAGCUAUAUUAAAGCUUCCUCAUUAGGUAAUAAUUUAUUUCCAAAGACUAUAUAUAUGGAGCAUCUUUAUGUCUGAUUUUUUUUUCUGAACAUGCUGAAGGUAUUGAAAACCUCAGAGGCUUCUGAACAAUUUUUUGUAAAACCCUUAUUUGUUUGUAGCGAAAAUGUGAAAAAAAAGUAAAUUCUAAUGAAUAGAACCUAAAUUGCCUCAGAGAAAACAAUUACAUUGGUGUUAUGCUUAAUUUCAAAAUACGAAAAUUUCAGAAUGAAAUCACAUAAAGAUAUAUGCUAUAAAUGAUGACUGGAUAUAUAUCACACCUACCAUCAAAAUUAUUCAAUUUAUUUCAAUAUCAACUUCACAACAUGUAUUUCUCAACAACUUAGUUUUUUUGACAUAUCAAAAAUUCUGCCUUGUUAAAUGGUAUGAUGAGGUUGUUCUCAGCACAUAUGUCUCUAAUUAGAAUAGGUUACAGUCCAAUUAGUUGUGGUCCAGUUUUCCUUCAAGAGGUACAAGAAUAUUGUUCCUAAUAAUUUAACAUUUUUUCGACAAUGGUUUAAAUAUUCCAACAGCAGCUGUAUCGAGAUUAGAAAGUAAGUUGAGUUGAGUUCUUUUAUUUUUCAGAUUGUGACUCAGAACGGGAAGCUGAUGCCGAAUCUGAAUCUCGAUCAGCAGAGCACCAAAGUCCUGAAUGUGACUGUUCUUCAGAGGAUCGAUCCAUGAGCUUCAGCUUCUUAGCAUCCUUUUAAUUACUAAAUAAUGCACAAGUUGUUAUGAAGCUCAUCUAGUCCUUUCUUCCCCCUUAAUUGUUAUUUGGUUGUUUGUUUGCAUAUUAUGACGGGAGCAUGUUUAUUAGGAUGGAGUGCAACGGAGUACAUUCUUUUUGUUACAAAUAAAUGUUUAUUUUCCCUGCCUGCCUAUAUAGGGUUACAAAUGAUAAAAUUGCAUUCCUUGUAUUAUAAGUCAAUAUGUGUGUUUGGUUUAUCAUCAGUUCUGUGAUGAGGUGUCCCCUUAGUUUAACAGCACCUCAACUCAGGUAAGAUGAAAAUACCCUGAUAUCAGAUACCUUUGAUGUAAAGCUGCUUAUCAUUUUGGCAUCACUCCUAGACUUCUUUUUGUCCUGAAAGUUGCAUGAAAUUAUCUCCUUGAGUUUUAUUAUAUCACUUGUAUGAUAAUUCAAAUGAGUUGAUUGUUGAAUACAGUGCCUUGCUGCAUUCAAAACUAGCUUUAUGUUUUAUUAUUUUUAGUUUUGCUAUGGAUGUUAGUGACUAUUCAUUGUAAUGACAAUUGUUUCUGAUAUUGCAGUCCUUACUCCCUGAGAUUAGGGACUUUAUGUGUUCACUAUCAGUGUUAGAGGCAGACAUAUUUCUGAAGAAAAUUUGGUGGAGGAUAUCUUGUGAGAUUUUGAGUAUGAAAUCCAACCUCCAUACUUGUUGUACCGGAAUGCAGCUCAAGAAGUUAAUGGUAUAUGGUUUUACAACCAACAAGAAUGUGAAGCUGUUAAAGCUCUUUUCCAGAGGAAGAACACAGAGCACAUGAUCUCUUUUAUGCCCUAUGGAUUCCCGAACUCUUUAUGGAGAGAGUCCAAAAUAAUGGAGAGUGGUCAUUGUUUUGCCCUAAUGAAGCUCCAGUAUUGACUGAUUGCUGGGGCAAGGAGUUUAAUAAGUUGUACACAAAAUAUGAGAGAGAGGAUGUUCCUAUUGAGUCACAUCCAUCAAAGUUGGUUAGAAGCACAGGAUCAAAUAACAGAUACUUUGAUUUCUAUAAACUGGCUGAGCUUGAAGAUCUUUCUACCAAUGACAAUCCUAGCUCUGUUAGUUCUUAUUCCGGUGAAUGUAUAAGAUGGGACAUUGAAAAAUAUUAACAAAGACAUAGUUUUCAGUGGCAUUGAUAAGCUCUCAAUUUCAAAUGUUACGGAGGGUUCUCAACGGUUAUGGUUUCACCGGUCAAUGGCAUAAUUGUUCACCAUAUGGACUUGCUACGUCCUUUACAAGGAGUAUGGACAUAUAGCCUUCAUGAGAUUGCAUUUUCUAGAAGAUCAAUAUCGUCGUGCUGCUCAGUUCACUGUAGUUGUCAGAAAUAACCCACAUGUUUCUAGGCAAUCUAUAUCAAAAAGCGUGGAUCAAUUUUUUCACCAGAACCAUCCUGAACACUACCUUGGCCACCAGAAAGGAUUUCUUGGGCUUUGUGGUGUAAGAACGGAUGCAAUUGACUACUAUAGUGAAAGCAUCUAGGAAAUUGACAAAUACGUAAGUCAAUUAUAUUUCCUAAGAAGUUUCCUGCAUCACUUCAGACAUAAGUACUUCAAAGGGUAUUAAUGUAUGGAUGUUAAUGAGAGAGUAAGUUAGUAGCAGAGCGUCAGAUAAUUCUCAAAGAUCCAAAGUCUAUCAUGCCUGUAGCAUUUGUUUCAUUUGACUCGAGAUGGGCUGGCUGCUAUUUGUGCUCAAACUCAGCAAAGUAGGAACCCAACACGCUAGUUAACUUACUGGGCACAAGAGCCACGCGAUGUUUACUGGAAGAAUCUAGCUAUACCAUUUGUUUCUCUCAUCAUCAGAAAACUGCUUAUAUCAUUAUCUGUGUUCGCUCUGGUAUUCUUUUACAUGAUACCUAUUGCUGACGUGCAGUCACUGGAAAAUCUCGAUAGUGUG